UUACGUGGGACGUAAAGCGCAUGCAGGCGGCCUAGUUAAGUCAGAUGUAGAAACGGCCCGGGGACUUAACCGUACGGUAAGUUGCUAUUUAGUAAACGUGGCGAGGCUAGAGUCUUGUAGAGGGGGGUAGGAAUUUCAGGUGUAGCGGUGAAAUGCGUAGAGAUCUGAAGGAAUACCAGUGGCGAAGGCGGCCCCCUGGACAAAGACUGACGCUCAGAUGCGAAAGCGUGGGGAGCAAACAGGAUUAGAUACCCUGGUAG
rnacentral:rRNA from 1 species